rnacentral:sRNA from 2 species
UUCCCGGUAACAUCUGAAGCACGAUCCACAUAGGAUUCGAUUUCGCCUCUGAGAGAUUCGAGCCCGUCCUUGAUGGCAUCCAGCACCUGUUCCGUGUCCCUUCCACUUGCCGCAGAAUACUGGCUGAAUUCAUCCUUUAUCUCACCCAAUAAGGAAUGAAGCUGGUCCAAGAACUGAUCACUAAUGUUGUUAUGCAACGACCCGGAAACUUCACCGAACCCGGCCUUUAUGGCAUCUGCAAUAUCUUCUCGAUUGAAUUCAAUCUCUUUGGAAAUACCGUCGUGAGAAGCUAAUCCCUCUUUGACUGCGUUUAAAACAUCGUCGCGGUUGAUUGCAGCUUCUCUAUCAAGCACAGC